UGGGGAAUUUUGCACAAUGGGGGAAACCCUGAUGCAGCGACGCCGCGUGAUUUAGAAGGCCUUCGGGUUGUAAAAAUCUUUUUUACGGGAUGAAAAUGACAGUACCGUAAGAAUAAGGUCCGGCUAAAUACGUGCCAGCAGCCGCGGUAAUACGUAUGGACCGAGCGUUGUCCGGAAUCAUUGGGCGUAAAGGGUACGUAGGCGGCCUAGUAAGUUAGAAGUGAAAUAAUAUAGCUCAACUAUAUAAAGCUUUUAAAACUGCUAGGCUUGAGAGAUGGAAGUGAAAGUGGAAUUCCUAGUGUAGCGGUGAAAUGCGCAGAUAUUAGGAAGAAUACCGGUGGCGAAGGCGACUUUCUGGUCAUCAUCUGACGCUGAGGUACGAAAGCGUGGGUAGCAAACAGG
rnacentral:rRNA from 1 species